rnacentral:rRNA from 1 species
UCCAGACUCCUACGGGAGGCAGCAGUGGGGAAUAUUGCACAAUGGGGGAAACCCUGAUGCAGCAACGCCGCGUGAGUGGAGAAGUAUUUCGGUAUGUAAAGCUCUAUCAGCAGGGAAGAAGAAGGACGGUACCUGACUAAGAAGCCCCGGCUAACUACGUGCCAGCAGCCGCGGUAAUACGUAGGGGGCGAGCGUUAUCCGGAUUUACUGGGUGUAAAGGGAGCGUAGACGGUUAAUCAAGUCUGAAGUGAAAGCCCGCGGCUCAACUGCGGAACGGCUUUGGAAACUGAGUAACUGGAGUGCUGGAGGGGCAGGCGGAAUUCCUGGUGUAGCGGUGAAAUGCGUAGAUAUCAGGAGGAACACCGGUGGCGAAGGCGGCCUGCUGGACAGUAACUGACGUUGAGGCUCGAAAGCGUGGGGAGCAAACAGGAUUAGAUACCCCCGUACC